AGAUAAUAGAUACCCGGGUAGUCCUGGCUGUAAACGAUGUCGACUAGAUCGUGGCGGCUCUGACGCUGUCACGGUCGAAGCAAAAGUGCUAAGUCGACCGCCUGGGAAGUACGGUCGCAAGGCUAAAACUCAAAGGAAUUGACGGGGGCUCACACAAGCGGUGGAGCAUGUGGUUCAAUUCGAAGCAACGCGCAGAACCUUACCUGGGCUUGACAUGCCAGGAUUAUCCCUGUGAAAGCAGGGUAGGCCCUUCGGGGUACAACUGGUACAGGUGCUGCAUGGCUGUCGUCAGCUCGUGUCGUGAGAUGUCGGGUUAAGUCCCUUAACGAGCGAAACCUUUGCCCUUAGUUACCAUCGGGUUAUGCCGGGGACUCUAAGGGGACUGCCGGUGUCAAACCGGAGGAAGGUGGAGAUGACGUCAAGUCCUCAUGGCCUUUAUGCCCAGGGCCACACACGUGCUACAAUGGCGUGCACAGAGCGAACCGAGAGCGCAAGCUGGAGGAAAUCGCACAAAUCACG
rnacentral:rRNA from 1 species